rnacentral:rRNA from 1 species
UAUAACAUAGCGUUAAUGCACCGGAUCCCAUUAGAAAUUCGUAGUUAAGUGCGCUCAGACUAGAGUAGUAUUGGGAUGGGUGACUCCUUAAGAAGUCCUAGUGUUUUAC